UUUCAACCACCUCGGUAGCUUGCUAGCAAACAUGAAACUAAAAGAUUGACGCUUUAGACCAUGUUAAUGUACAUUAGCUAAUCUCAGUGUUGUAAACGCAGUUCAUUUGACGUAUCAACUGGUUAACUUUAAUGUAAUUUGCUUGUUCAAUUUGCAAAGUUGUUAAGCAAUGAUACUGAGCCAAGCCGCUAAUGCUACCUUACUAGCACUAGGCUAGUCGCUAAUUCUAACAUCCCGGACCAUGAGUUCACUAAACUACCCCUCCCUUGCUAAAGAAGAGGAGGCCUGCUGUAUGCAGAAUUAAGCUUUGGGGCUGAACAUUGUCGUGAAAGAAGAAGAAGAUGAUGUUAUUGAGGAAGAACCUUUAAGAGAGGAAGAGGAUGCUAUCGCAGUGGAGGUGAAGAAGGAAGACGUUUUGAGAGUGAAAGAGGAGGAGACAGAAUAUCUGAUUAACACCAACAGGAGAGAGACAUGACUAUUAUGGAUCCUCUGGGGAGCCUCAACAACAUCCUGAUGCUGACGAGGCAGAGAAGAGUCUCUCCAGAUCAGAACACCAGAUGGACAACGAUAGACCUUCCUCCCUCCCAGAGUCCCCGUGUCGUGCCUCUCCUGUUAGCACGUUACUGCUGGGUAUGAAGAGGUUGUCUGUGCUGCUGGUGGACUUCAGGAAAACAACAGGGCUGAGUGGAACUGUGAGAGGAGGAGAAGAGAUGAAAGGAUCAGAUUUGACACAUCAAAGCAACCAAGCGUCAAUCAUCAUCAUGUCACCAGAAGAAGACCCUCAAAAUGUAUUGGAAAGGAGCAUCAAGCUCAUCACAUGCACUUUCACCACCCUGUGAAGUUCAUAACUUAUUUCAUCUGUAGCCUAAUAAACUGCAUGAGUUCCCAAGUCGUAGAGGGAGGACCACACAACAUAUCAUCACGUGACUCCAAGUUAACUAAGAUCUGAUGGUUAUUAUAUAAAUAUUUGCGCACGAAGGAGUUUCCACCACCAUUUCUAGCUCAUAAAUGUUUACUGACACAAAAUGAUCCCACCAUGUAAAACAAACUUACAAAUUGUCUAUUUGCAUUUAUAAAAUGUUAAAGGCAUAUCCUGUUUCCAUCAGCCCGGUCAUUACUUUGGAAAUGGUUGGAUCAAUAUCCACCUUCAUGAUAUGGAUGAAGCCUGAUUUGGAAUGUCUGAGUAGUUCUACAUGAUGUCAUAAUACACCCCUCUGAUAAUCAAGUGAUAUUUGGAAUGUCUGAGUAGUUCUAUCGGAUGUCAUAAUACACCCCUCUGAUAGUGAUACAUUUGCUUCAUUGUUUCCAUGUCAGUUGGUUUCCCACUCUGAUGAUUUAUAUCUGACCGAGGGGCUUUAAAGGUAUAGUAUUAGUGUGUCUUGAAAUAGGAUUAUUAAUCAUAAACUCCUAUAGCAACAAUACACUGCAGCUUUGACAUCAAGAAGAGAAUGGGCUGAUGGGUGGUGGUGCUACUCUAUAGGUAAGGCUGUCCAAUAUGAAUGUUCAAUAGACACAAUAGGUUGAUCAGUAGCCAGUUAGUUUGCUGCUACGUCUUUUGCUAACACAGCUAGUUUGCUAACUCAGCUACACAGCUAGCUUGCUAACACAGCUUGCUUGCUAACACAGCUAGCUUGCUAACACAGCUAGCUUGCUAAGUUAAAAUGCCCUCCAGGCCUGGUGGGGGCAGCAGUGCACUACAUCAACUGUUUACCAGAGCUUCCUGAGGGGAAAAUAAUUAGUUUAUAGCUUGAUUUACCAUUAUGGGAAGUUUUUAUGUGAAUGAAGUCAUACCGUGUAAAAAAAACUUAACAGAUGUGAUGGAAACAGGAAGUUGUGAUCGGUGGUGGUGUACAUUAAUAGGUAAGGCUGUACAGUUCAAUAUGAAUGUUCAAUACCCACAAUAGGUUGACAGGGGAGGUGAUGCACCACAGUCAAAGUCCUGCAAUAAGAGCUAAGACGCUAAUAUUUUUGUAAACUAUAUAUAUUUGUGUUCUGUGGUUGUCACUGAGUUGGCUGAUGUCCCAUUUCGUGGGGUCACUCCAUAGUUAAGGCUGUACAGUGACUAUAUAAAGUCUACAUCUUAGUUAACUUUGUGACUUCAAUGAAAGUGAACCAGAGGCUCUGAUGAACCCUACAGGACGAUGGAGGAAUCCAACAGAAGAGACAACAUAUAUAUACAUUGCAAUUAUUCUCGAAUGAGACGCCGUUCAUGUGCAAAGGAUUAGCAUUUCAAUUAAUGUAAUUAUAGACUGUAAUGAAUCCACGUUGUCUUUCCCGCUCUCUGUCACACCCCUUUCCUUUUGUCUACCAAGCUGUCAUAUCGGCUUAGCCCACUAGGGACUUUUCUACCAUUGUUCGUUACCAAUAUAUGUUUUAUGUAUUU